AGUCGCUAGCCAUGCGAGUCAUAUGUUCUUCAUGAACAUGGCGUACUGCUCAGUAACACGUGGAUAACCUGCCCUUGGGUCCGGCAUAACCCCGGGAAACUGGGGAUAAUUCCGGAUAACGCAUAUAUGCUGGAAUGCUUUCUGCGUAAAAUGGAUUCGUCUGCCCAAGGAUGGGUCUGCGGCCUAUCAGGUAGUAGUGGGUGUAAUGUACCUACUAGCCGACGACGGGUACGGGUUGUGAGAGCAAGAGCCCGGAGAUGGAUUCUGAGACAUGAAUCCAGGCCCUACGGGGCGCAGCAGGCGCGAAAACUUUACAAUGCGGGAAACCGUGAUAAGGGGACACCGAGUGCCAGCAUCAUAUGCUGGCUGUCCGGGUGUGUAAAAUACACCCGUUAGCAAGGGCCGGGCAAGACCGGUGCCAGCCGCCGCGGUAACACCGGCGGCCCGAGUGGUGAUCGUGAUUAUUGGGUCUAAAGGGUCCGUAGCCGGUUUGGUCAGUCCUCCGGGAAAUCUGAUAGCUCAACUAUUAGGCUUUCGGGGGAUACUGCCAGGCUUGGAACCGGGAGAGGUAAGAGGUACUACAGGGGUAGGAGUGAAAUCUUGUAAUCCCUGUGGGACCACCUGUGGCGAAGGCGUCUUACCAGAACGGGUUCGACGGCGAGGGACGAAAGCUGGGGGCACGAACCGGAUUAGAUACCCGGGUAGUCCCAGCCGUAAACGAUGCUCGCUAGGUGUCAGGCAUGGCGCGACCGUGUCUGGUGCCGCAGGGAAGCCGUGAAGCGAGCCACCUGGGAAGUACGGCCGCAAGGCUGAAACUUAAAGGAAUUGGCGGGGGAGCACAACAACGGGUGGAGCCUGCGGUUUAAUUGGACUCAACGCCGGGCAACUCACCGGGGGCGACAGCAAUAUGUAGGCCAAGCUGAAGACUUUGCCUGAAUCGC
rnacentral:rRNA from 1 species